rnacentral:lncRNA from 1 species
AAAAGGAGAGAAACCCAGAAACAAAAGAGACCAUUCUAGAUGAACUGAAUAUAGAAUUCAAAUUUCUUGCACAGUUGCCGUAAAUCAAUCUUCAAUUGAAUCGCCCUUUUUCAGGUUCUCAUCAGAAGCAAGCGUCUAGAAGACAGCAGCAGCAGAGAGCAGCCAAACUGCCAAUUAUCCAAAUUUAACCAAAUUAAAAUAAAAACAAACAGAUUCUAAAAAAACACUCAAAUCUUUAAAUUUUGCCCAAAAAAAUAGAUAGCAUUUUGGGAAACAACAUUUUGAAAUAUAUCAAAUUACGAGCAUAUCCCUCUUCCGGAGGGUAUUUUGGGAAUCACCGACGACCAGAUCGUGAUAGGCGGAGAGACGAUGGUCCCUAUGAGAAUCACCGACGAGCGCGUUGACUCGUUCUCGACUCGGAUCGCCCAGAUCUGAGCCAUCGGGGCCGAUUACAACAUCCAAAAAUAAAAACAAAAAAAAACAGAGAAAGAGAUGAAACAGAGCUCUCACCAUCCUUCAAGCAAACCAGAGCUAUGACUCUGCUGCUGCUGUUGAGGCUGAGGCUGAGGCUGACCGUACUGAGGAGCGUACUGCGGAGGGUACCCUUGCUGAGGGUA